UUCAAUUCUGGUACACUGAUUGUCGCUUUCCAUAAUUCAUGUUUGCAUUAUCAGCACUGUAGGAAGACACUUUGUUUAGGUCUAGUUUGUGUGUCGUAAGUUUUUCCAAGAUGUGUUGCUUAUUGCCUCUGCAGUCUCUUCGCUUUGCUCAUAGAAGUCUAACAGUUUAUCUUGGACCUCAUGUUCAGGUGUCCAGUAUCUCAGUGAUAAGGGGAAGUUUUCACAUUGCCCUUGUUAGAUGCAUCUGUGGCAACUGAGAAAUAGGGACCAUCUGGCUUGCUGAGGUCUUUUAAAAAAUUUGUUGAGAGCGGUGACAGCAGAUUUUUGAUCGAUGCCUUUGCUUUCGUCCGGCCACAGCUGAUGUGCUUCGCAAUCGUUGAAUCUGGAUACAAGGUUAUUGAUGCAUAUUUGAGCUGUGUGGUUGAGGAAGCAGAUGGAAAGGCCCAGUGUGAUUCUUGCAAGAGGUGGGCACAUAUGCCCUGCAUUACAGAAGGAACCAAUCAAGACUACCUGACUGAUGAGAAGAAAGUACAACUGCAAAAAAAAAAGUGCAUAGUUCACUUCUUUACAAAAAGGAAAAAACCACCAUUAUGUUUAAAUGCCUCUUGUUCAAAACAUAAUGCAAC